rnacentral:rRNA from 1 species
CGGGAGGCUUAACACAUGCAAGUCGAGGGGCAGCACGAGGUAGCAAUACUUUGGUGGCGACCGGCGUACGGGUGAGUAACGCGUAUGCAACCUACCCUGUACUGGGGGAUAGCCCGGAGAAAUUCGGAUUAAUACCCCAUAAAGAUAUUGAGAGGCAUCUUUUAAUAUUUAAAGUUUCGACGGUACGGGAUGGGCAUGCGUAACAUUAGCUAGUUGGUAGGGUAACGGCCUACCAAGGCGACGAUGUUUAGGGGUCCUGAGAGGGUGAUCCCCCACACUGGUACUGAGACACGGACCAGACUCCUACGGGAGGCAGCAGUGAGGAAUAUUGGUCAAUGGGCGCAAGCCUGAACCAGCCAUCCCGCGUGCAGGAAGACGGCGCUAUGCGUUGUAAACUGCUUUUCCAGGGAAAGAAAACCCCCGACGUGUCGGGGCUUGCCGGUACCCUGGGAAUAAGCAUCGGCUAACUCCGUGCCAGCAGCCGCGGUAAUACGGAGGAUGCGAGCGUUAUCCGGAUUUAUUGGGUUUAAAGGGUGCGUAGGCGGAUUAAUAAGUCAGUGGUGAAAACCUUCAGCUUAACUGGAGACUUGCCAUUGAUACUGUUAGUCUUGAGUACGGUCAAGGUAGGCGGAAUGUGUAAUGUAGCGGUGAAAUGCUUAGAUAUUACACAGAACACCGAUUGCGAAGGCAGCUUACUGGACCAUUACUGACGCUGAUGCACGAAAGCGUGGGGAGCGAACAGGAUUAGAUACCCUGGUAGUCCACGCCGUAAACGAUGAUCACUCGCUGUUGGCGAUACACAGUCAGCGGCUAAGCAAAAGCAUUAAGUGAUCCACCUGGGGAGUACGGCCGCAAGGCUGAAACUCAAAUGAAUUGACGG